rnacentral:rRNA from 1 species
UACGUAGGGUGCAGGCGUUAAUCGGAAUUACUGGGCGUAAAGCGCGCGCAGGCGGCUUCCUAAGUCAGAUGUGAAAGCCCCGGGCUCAACCUGGGAAUUGCAUUCGAUACUGGAUAGCUAGAGUUCGGCAGAGGGAAGCGGAAUUUCCGGUGUAGCGGUGAAAUGCGUAGAUAUCGGAAGGAACAUCAGUGGCGAAAGCGGUUCCCUGGACCAGACCUGACGAUCAGGCUCGAAAGCGUGGGGAGCGAACAGG